rnacentral:lncRNA from 1 species
CGUUACUCUUAUUGUUGUGGGUUCGGAUUCGAGUUUGUAAGUGACGGAUUCAAAAGAAAAGGUGAUGUUUAAGUGCGAAACUUGAUUUAUUUGAGGUGCUUAUGAACAGAUUCGGUUUGAAUAAAGUGUUGGUUGAAAUCGGUUUGGAUUUGAGUGUUUGAUUUUGAAAUUUUUUGAAAGAGAAAGAAAAUUAGGGUUUGAUGAUUGCGGCUACUGAUUGGUGAUUCUGUGGUUUCUCGGUUUGCGGCUGUGGAAAAUUGUCUGUCUUUUCUGUAUUUUGCAGGUUUGCUUUUAUAGCAUUAGGGUUGGAUUGAAUAAGGAAAUAACUUGCAGAAGUUACUACCGCGUUCCC